rnacentral:rRNA from 1 species
CCUACGGGAGGCAGCAGUCGAGAAUCAUUCACAAUGGGGGAAACCCUGAUGGUGCGACGCCGCGUGGGGGAAUGAAGGUCUUCGGAUUGUAAACCCCUGUCAUGUGGGAGCAAAUUAAGAAGAUAGUACCACAAGAGGAAGAGACGGCUAACUCUGUGCCAGCAGCCGCGGUAAUACAGAGGUCUCAAGCGUUGUUCGGCAUCACUGGGCGUAACGCGUGCGUAGGCGGUUGCGUAAGUCGUGUGUGAAAGGGACGGGCUCAACCCGCGGACGGCACAUGAUACUGGGAGGCUAGAGAAAUGGAGGGGGAAGCGGAAUGCUCGGUGUAGCAGUGAAAUGCGUAGAGAUCGAGAGGAACACUCGUGGCGAAGGCGGGUUCCUGGACAUUAACUGACGCUGAGGCACGAAGGCGAGGGGAGCGAAAGGGAUUAGAUACCCCUGUAGUC